AGUUCCCUGAAAUUCAAUUAUCCAAAUACCCCUAGUCACCAUUUCCUGGUUUGAUUCCUCUCUUCUCAACAACUACUUCCUCUGGUUCCCCAUCUUCUUUCUCUUCAAUUUCUGGUGUUUUCUCUUUUCUUCUUCUUCUACUUCGAUCAUAUGAAGAAGUUGUUUAAACUUGAAAAUCCAAGGAUUCCAACCGAAGUAAGGGCAAAAGGUUUCCAGCGAAGCUGGAAAGGGCUUUGAUGUGACAAAUUUCUGGUAGCUUCAUCAAUGUUCGAUCAUAUGCCCCACAGGCCUGUAUUGGUCAUGCCUUUUAUGAGAAUCACUCUCGUUCUCGCAGCACGCUCAAAACUUGCCUUCCGUCUAUUACCACUGACUUCUAAAGGAUGGAUUUCCAAGACUUCACUUCUGUUGACAAGAGGUGGAUAGGACUUCCAAGAGACGACGAUGCUUUCAUUGCAGGAGUCCAUAAGUUCAUAGACUCUAGUCGGAUUUAGAAUCCGGGAAAAAAAAUUGGUGUUCUUGAAUAGAAUAUUAUGUAAAUGACCAUUUGUAUUAACAUUUCAAGCACAACAGGUUUUCUAUAUAUCAAAGAUGUAUAUGAUCAACAAAAGGAAGUGGUUAUAAAAUCGCAACCUCGUCGGUCUUUCAAUAUUUUGCAGGACUUGGUCAGUUAUCAACUGCAAAUGCCUUACAAAAUGGAGGACGGGUUUCUCCGUUUCUCUUACUAGGGUGGGGGUGUUACGAGUCUAUCACUGCGGAAGAUGCGCUAUGAAAUUACUCUUGACAUCGGGAGAGUUCAUAUUUUUAAUCUUUGUAAACUUUUAAGGAGUCUUUAAUGAUUCCUAUUUUUAA